AUUAAAAUAAAUUAAAAAGUAUAAAAAUUUUAAAAAAACUAAUAUAUACUGGCAGCAUUUUAUCUUAUUAGAGGAACAUGUUUAUUAAUCGAAAACACACGUUAAUUUUUACUUAUUUUAAAAUUUUAUAUACCGCCGUAAAGAUCUAUUUUAAAAAUUUUUUCCAAAAAUUAUUCUAAAAAAAUAGGUAAAGGUGUAAACAACAAAUAAGGUAAGAAUGUGUUACAAUAAAUUUAAUUUAAAAAUCCAUUUUUACAAAACUAAAUGAGGGAUUUAAAAGUAAUAUAAAAAUAAAAAUUUUAUAUGAAUAAGUAAAUAAAUGUGC
rnacentral:rRNA from 1 species